rnacentral:lncRNA from 1 species
UUAAACACAGCUUAUGUUAUGUCAAAUCAACUAACUAACUAGCAAACCAAAUGAGUUUUCCUUCAUCUGUAGCUCUGGGAGUCAAAGAUUCUGCAGUCCAAAGCAGUGGAUGGCUUGGCCCUCAUGAAGAACACCAACUCAUCAGACUUUGUGCUGCAGCUCCCUCCAAACUAUGGACAGACGUUUACAAAACAUACAUCUUCUGUUGUGAUCCGUACAGGCCAACAUGUCCAGAGUUUCACAGCGAAGGUCAAAUUACACGAAACCGUCAUACAUUUGAAUGAUAACUUUUUGUUGUUGUGCAGUGCAUGUCUGCAAACCGCUGUUUGGGAAAAGAGCUUACUGCUAACCUGUCGAACGUUGAUUAAAUAAUUUGGUUGACAGGUGUAGAUUUACAUGACAUUUUAGUCAUUUAGCAGAGACUUUUAUCCAGAGCGACUUAUAGUUAGUUCAUUCAACUCAAGGUACGACAACCACAUGUCAUAGUAAGUAAAACUUCCGUCAAUAUGUUUAAUUUUGGAGCCACACCCUGAUUGACAUGCCAAGUUGUCAAUAAGGUGUUCAGCUGCUUGAUCAGAGCCAGGGCAGCACCAAAUAUCAGAGCCAGGCUAGCAGCACUGUAAGGUUAGGGUCAGCACGAUGGUGUGAAAAAGGUAACAGAGAGACCUCACCACCUUGUUGUUUUGGGGCAACCUUUUACAUCUCACUGGGAUUGCGUUCCAAUAAUCUCUCCUUUCUCACAAAGUAUGCACUUGUUCAUUUCCCUUCAUGGAUCUGAAAGGAAAUCACUGAUGUAUGGAAACUUCCUCUAGCACAGUGUUUCCCAACUCCGGUCCUCCAGUACCCCCAACAGUACACAUUUCUGUUGUAGCCCCGAACAAACUAUUGAUUCAACUUGUUAACUAAUCAUCAAACCCUGGAUGAGAAGAAUCAGGUGAGUUUGUCUGGGGCUACAACAAAAAUGUGUGCUGUUGGGGGUACUGGAGUUGGGGAAACACUGCUCUAGUACAUGCCUACAUCAAUCCAAUGCUUUUAAAAGUGAAUGCACACUUUGGGAAGAAGGAAAGAUUAUUGGGACACACCCUGAGAGUGACUGGGGAAAAGCAGCAGCAGCCUAUUAAACCCCACGUUCUUAUGUGAUUCUGUACACACCAGGGUUGGUAACAAAUUUGUCUGGGAAAGGGCCUUAUGUUGUGUCUGGUAACAGGAGGACAGGUCAAGAUGACACUAUAUUAACCAUACAAAGGAUGGGGAUGGUGGGGCACAUUUUAAUUUAGGCCUAGAUGUGUGCAGAGCAAAGAAAGGUAAAAAGGAAAUCAGUCUUUAGAGCAUCCUGUUUGUGGGCAGCUAGGGUUUUUCUUCUCUCCCCUCUCUCUCAAUUUGAUGUUAAAGGCCCAGUGCAUUGUACAGUAGACGAUGAAACGAACACUGUAACAGUGUGAUCAGUGUUAUUUCCUGAUAGUUGCUGGUUUAAAAUUCAAUCUACACAGGAGCUUUUAAUGAGCAGGUUUGCAUGGACGGGAGUUUCU